rnacentral:rRNA from 1 species
GAUUAACGCUGGCGGCGUGCCUAACACAUGCAAGUCGAGCGGCAGCGAGUUUUACACUGAAUUCUGGAAUCUUCUAGUUGAAAGAGAAGAUUUAUUCAAGAAUUUUGUGUAAAAUGUCGGCGAGCGGCGGACGGCUGAGUAACGCGUGGGAACGUACCCCAAAGUGAGGGAUAACGCAUCGAAAGGUGUGCUAAUACCGCAUAUGGUCUUCGGAUUAAAGCCUUCGGGCGCUUUGGGAACGGCCUGCGUAAGAUUAGAUAGUUGGUGGGGUAAUGGCCUACCAAGUCGACGAUCUUUAACUGGUUUGAGAGGAUGAUCAGUCAGACUGGAACUGAGACACGGUCCAGACUCCUACGGGAGGCAGCAGUGAGGAAUCUUCCACAAUGGGCGAAAGCCUGAUGGAGCAACGCCGCGUGCAGGAUGAAGGCCUUCGGGUUGUAAACUGCUUUUAUAAGUGAGGAUUAUGACAGUAACUUAUGAAUAAGGAUCGGCUAACUACGUG